ACAAAGGAGCGACGCAGCGCCCAGCGAGGGCUGAAGGACGGCGCCGGCGGGCGGACCGAGCGCGGGCCGCGCCGACGGGAGAGGGAGGCAUCGCGGCACGGCAGGCACAGCGGGCACGGCACACCCGGAAGAGCCGCAGCGAGGAGUUAGGGGAGAAAGAGAUGCCUAGAUGAGACAACUUUUUCUUGAUACGUAAGCUGGUGAGGUUUAACGUCUGAAUCCUUCCAGUCUGCUGACAGGACGCUGCUCUGGAGCUGCAGAUAAUGUAUCUUAGCCAAUCUUCCUAAGCUGCCACGCUGCAGAUGAAACACAGGCGUGCUGUAGUAGAGGCUUAAAACAGCAUGGAAAGUCAAUGGAGAGGUGCUCACGUAAGUCCUUGUUGUACUAAGCCCAGCUAUGCCAGGGUUCAUGCAAGUACUACCUAUGCUAAGGAAGCGAACUACAACUAGAGAAACCAAAUUCUAGUUCCUACGAUCACUUUCACCCCUUUUUGGUGUUUAUUAUCGUUUCUUUUCACAGAAGAAGCAAUGUAAAAUUGGAGGAAGGUGUAUUCUAUUUUGGGGCUGCAUCAAGAUCGAUUUUGUUUUUACAUCAGACGAUUCAGAUGGGCUCGAAGUGUUCCAGCAAUAACACAACAACCCGAAGCAGAGCCCUGGAACACCUGGCCUUUUAUCACAAGAUCGCCUUCCUCCAGCUCCUGGCUUCCUCGUCAGCUGUGGGAGCGGACGCAUGGGAAACAAACCGUAACUCCACCAACAAAAAGAAAAAAUAAUUCAUGACUUUAUUUCUUUUCUUUUUUCUUUUAGUUCAGUUGGCCAUCUGAGGUGCUAAAAUCUCAACACCAAUGAAGCGAGUGUGCAUAAAAACAAAUGAUAAAACAACCAAACAGAAAAGAGGCUGGAACAGUUUUGGGGUUUUUUUUUUUUUUUUUUUGUUGGUUUUUUGUUGUUGUUGUUUUGUUUUUUUAACAAGUAGGAUAUAUACGCUUUUCUGUUAACACUCCAUACAUGCCAACCAUAAAAAGCCUUGAACAAUCUGAAUAUCAGAGUUCACUCUCAUUCAAAAGGGAAGAUGCCAAGGCAAAUCCCUUCACCUGGAACAGACUUCACACACACGCACACAUGCACGCACAGAUACAGAGAAUAUUUAAAUUACUGCAAUGCCAUCAGAACUUGGCAUCCUCCACACCUACUUUCAAUGACAUCCUCAUCUGCCCGCUGCCCUGUCUGUAGCAGUACUGCGAGCAAUCCAAAAGUGGAGGCUUUUGGAAAGCUUCUAAUCUCUGUUACUUUGCAACAGUCAAGAGCAAGCGACCUCUCUCUGCCAACUAUGUACAGGCUGGUUAUUAGUAUGCUUUAGAGUUCUCUUUAUUGCAGACAGUGAUGAUUUAAAUUCCCAUACAGCCAUACCGUGGCUUCUCAGUUCGUACUCAGGAGAUCUGAUAAUGCAACACCUUUCUCGUCCGCUGGCGCUCGGUGUAAACAUUUAAUUGAAAACUCAUUUUAAAAGAAUGUUAACCAAACAAGGUGUAGCUGUGAAAAUUUUAGGAACAGCUGCUAAGAAAACGGAAAUGCUGGCUGCUCUAGAUCAUGCAGUCUAGACCACUUAUAAUACUUCAUAAUGUUCAGGAUUAGGAUGUAUAAAAAUAUUAAAAACCACCGGAGUGC
rnacentral:lncRNA from 7 species